GACAGAGGUCCCGAGCGUUGUUCGGAUUCAUUGGGCGUAAAGGGUGUGUAGGAGGUCGGGUAAGUCAGGUGUGAAAUCUCAGAGCUUAACUGUGAAACUGCAUUGGAUACUAUCCGGCUCGAGGAAUGGAGGGGAGACUGGAAUACUUGGUGUAGCAGUGAAAUGCGUAGAUAUCAAGUGGAACACCAGUGGCGAAGGCGAGUCUCUGGACAUUUCCUGACGCUGAGGCACGAAAGCCAGGGGAGCAAACGGG
rnacentral:rRNA from 1 species